AGACGAAGGAUGCAAGCGUUAUCCGGAUUCAUUGGGUUUAAAGGGAGCGUAGGUGGAUUUGUAAGUCAGUGGUGAAAGCCGGCAGCUUAACUGUCGAACUGCCAUUGAUACUGCAGAUCUUGAGUAUGGUUGCUGUGGGCGGAAUAUGACAUGUAGAGGUGAAAUUCAUAGAGAUGUCAUAGAACACCGAUUGCGAAGGCAGCUCACAAAACCAUUACUGACACUGAGGCUCGAAAGUGCGGGGAUCAAACAGGAUUAGAUACCCUGGUAGUCCGCACUGUAAACGAUGAUUACUCGCUGCUAGGAGGUAACUUUUAGUGGCUAAGCGAAAGCGAUAAGUAAUCCACCUGGGGAGUACGCCGGCAACGGUGAA
rnacentral:rRNA from 1 species